GUGGUUGUGGUGGUUGUGCUGUGGUAUGGUGGUGCUGUGGUGGAGAGUAUUCGUUUGCCUUAAGGAGCAGGUACUCUGUAUGGACUGUUUUUGUAAAUACCUGUAUAUAGCUCACAUUAAAAAGACUGCACUGGAAAACCCUGGGACUCUGAGCGUUUCUGCUAAAAGCGCCGCGAGGAAUCGCGACAGGGUUAUGGGCCCAGCACGCUUCCGCUGCGCAAGAGUACAGGUGGCAGUUAUCUAGCCGUGGGUGCUGGAGGUGAGCUGCAGGGAUGGAGCAGUCCAGAACUGGCGUGUUGCUGGAGAAGCUGACGGCCACGAACUACAGCAUCUGGUCGGUCCGCAUGCAACACUUCCUCAAGCGUGAGGGCCUGUGGAAGGUGGUGGAAACUCCACCGCAGCCCCUGAGGAGGAUGAGGACGACGAUGAAAAGCUGGCACUAGCAGAGGCCCAGCUAGAAAAGGAUGAGAAAGCUUUGGCUACGAUCAUCCUUGGAGUGGACGACAGCCAGCUGGUCUACGUAGCUGAUAAGGUGACGGCAAGUGAGGCGUGGAAUGCGCUCAAGGCUGUCCAUGUGCGAGAGACAGCUGGCUCACUGAUAACACUGACCAGGAGACUGUACCGGUGUCGGAAGAAACCGGGGACUCCCUGGUAAACCACCUAAAAUUCCUAACAGGCUGUUUCCAGGAGCUAGCCUUAAGAGGGAGGCCUGUGGGGGAAGAGGACAAAGUCUUUAUAGUCCUGAGUUCCCUUGAUGACAGCUAUGAUAUGCUAGUCAAUUCCCUCGAGUCUGUAGAGACUGAUAAGCUGACUCUGGAAUACGUUACUGGACGGUUGUAUGCAGAGGAGGACAGGCGUGCAGAGCGAAAGAUGACCUCAGCCCAGCUGUUGGAGCAUCCCAGAGGGAACAACAGCCGGGAAGAGCAGAGGUGUCGGGAGCCGGAGAAACAGCCAGGAGGAGCUGCUGCAGACCAGCCGGUGGUCAACAAAGUAAAAAGGUGUUUUUGCUGCAAAUCCAGUGGACAUCUGCUGCGGGACUGCCCGAGAAAACAACAAAAACAGCAGAAGCACAGGAGGCAGCAGAGAGAGUCUACCGCUUGGGUGUCUGCAGAUGGUCAAGAAAAUGAAGAGCUGUGGGUUCUGGACAGUGGAGCUUCUCAAACCUUUUGUAAAAGAAAAGGAUUGCUAAUUGAUGCUAGGGCUUCAAACAAAAAACAUGUAAGUCUUGCUACGGGCCAGAAAGCUAAUGUGGUUUGUGAGGGGGAGGUUGUGUUCCCACAGCUGGGACACACAUUCAGGAAUGUGUUGUGUGUGCCUAGUUUGCAAAACAAUCUCCUGAGUAUUCCUGACUUGGCAAAAGCAGGCUUUGAAGUAAACUUUGUGGGAGAUCAGUGCCAGAUAAAGCAAAAUGGGGCAGUGUUGGCAAAUGCUAACCUUAGAACUAAUAUGUAUGUACUGCAGUGUGAGUCUAAGGUUGCGAAUGUGCAAAAUGUCCCAACCCAUGAUAUGUGUAUUCAUCUCCUGCACAGGCGUCUGGCUCAUGCUAGCUUUAAGGUGCUGAACAAAACAUUGGAGUUGUGUGGGGGGAUGAAAAACAUAAAAAGUUGUGAUAAUUACUUAGACUGCAAUAUCUGCAAGGAGGUUAAAAGCAGGGCUUGCCCAGUAGCAAGAGCAAGCCAGAGAGAAACCAAAAAACCACUGGAGUUGAUUCAUGCUGAUGUAACUGGUCCUUUUCCACCAAGUGUCUCCCAUAACAAGUACUGUUUGAUCCUAGUGGAUGACUAUUCUAGAUUUGGCUGGGUCUAUCCAUUAAAGCAAAAGUCUGACGUUGCCCAAACUUUGAAGUUCUGGGUAAGAAGGGUAGAAAGGCAACUUGGCGAAAAGGUGUGCUCUAUUCAGACAGAUAGGGGAGGAGAGUUUAUGGCAAGCUCCCUAAGAAACUGGUUGCGUUCCCAAGGGAUUAAACAUAGGCUUACCAAUGUGGCGACGCCUCAGGAGAAUGGAGUAGCAGAGCGUAGGGGAGGUGUCUUGCAGACACAAAUGAAAGCAUUGUUAGCAGAUGCAAAUCUUCCAAUUAAGUACUGGGCUGAGAGUAUUAAGACCGCAAAUUAUAUUGGGAAUCGCUUGUGGUCAAGGGUACUAGAUGACAUACCCUAUAAAAUUCUCUAUAACAAAAGUCCCAGUUUGCAACAUUUGAGAAUCUUUGGGACAAAGGCGUGGGUUGACAUACCUGUAAAGAACCGAAGAAAAGGUGGGAAAAGGCACAGCAGUUGCUAUUUCUUGGGUAUGAAAGUGGUACGAAAGCCUACAGGUUUGAAGAUGAUAAAAAUCUUUUGAGUUAUAGUCGAUCAGCCAGCUUUAAUGAGCAAAGAAAUUGGCCCAAGAUACAUGCAAACCUGCUGCCAGAAAAAGUUUUACUGCCGAGCGUACCUGAUAAGGCAGUUGAAACAAAGCUGAAAAUUGGCAGCUCUCCCAGAGAAACUGAAAGGGAGGAGGUAAAGGUUGAGCAUUUUUCUCCAGCUGCUAGCAUGGAGCAGGGGAGAGAAGAAAGUGCAACAGGGACAGGAGGAGGUAGAUCUACAGAGUCAAUCCACCCCAAAAGCAGUCCUGAAGGUAGCCCAGGGGUGAGAUUAAUGAACCAAGGAGGUCUACAAGAAGUAAUAAAGGUCAACCUCCAGACCGUUAUGGGUUCCCAGUCACCAUAAACCAGGUUUGUGUAACUGAGCCAGAAAACUUUGAAGAAGUGCAAGAGUUACCUACUCUAGAGAAAGAGGCGUGGUUAAAGGCAAUGCAGGCAGAGUAUAACUCUCUGCUAAACAACAAUGUGUUUGUACCUACAGAAUUGCCUGAAGGUAAAAAGCCCAUAAGCUGUAAGUGGGUUUUUAAAGUGAAAAAGCUGGCUGAUGGUAGUUGUCAGAGGAAAGCCAGGUUGGUGGCAAGGGGCUUUACACAAAGAAAAAUGAUACAUUAUGAUGAAGUGUUUGCCCCAACAGCAAAGGCUGAAACAGUAAAAUCAGUUUUAGCAAUGGCAAGUCUGAGAGGGUUAAAAGUUAAUCAUUUUGAUGUUGCCUCAGCAUAUUUAAAUGCUCCUAUUGACGCCGAGGUGUAUUUACAGCAAAUACCAGGUUAUGAGCUGGAAAAAGACAGCAUGGUGUUAAAACUGCAAAGGGCACUAUACGGGUUGCACCAAAGUGCACGUCUAUGGCAUGAAUGCAUAGACACAACUUUGAAAAGAUGGGAUUCAAACAAAGCCUGGCUGAUUCCUGUUUAUAUUCAGCAAUGGUGCAAGGAAGUGUUUGUUAUUUACUUUUGUAUGUUGAUGAUAUCUGUCUAAUAACAACUGCACAAAAGCAAGUGUCUUGGUUUAUAAACAGCCUAGGUAACAAAUACAAACUGAAGUAUUUGGGAGAGAUUCAGAAUUACUUAGGAGUAGAGGUUCAGAGAAAUGAAGAGGGCGUCUACUCUCUGAGUCAGAAGGAAAAAAUUGAAAAGUUACUGAAGAUAUAUGGAAUGGAGAGGGCAAAUGAGGUUGACACUCCCAUAACUACCCAGUACAAAAAUGAACCAGAAGGGCAAAAAUGUGAGAAUGCAACAGCAUUUCAUUCUCUGUUGGGUUCUCUGUUAUAUUUAAGUUGUUGGACAAGACCCGACAUAACAUUGGCAGUGCACAUGUUAAGCCAAAGAAGUGCAGACCCUGCUCAGAGAGAUUGGGUAGCACUUAAAAGAAUCCUAAGGUAUCUGAAAGGCACAAAAGAUUACAAACUGAUGCUGGAUACAGGAUAUGAUCAGCAAGUGUAUGCAUACGCUGAUGCCAGCUGGGGGGACAGAGAAAAUGGAAAGUCUACCACUGGCUAUGCCAUAUAUAUUGGAAAUGCCCUGGUUCAGUGGAAAUCCCAGAAACAAACAUUUGUUGCCACAAGUACUUGUGAAGCAGAGUACUCAGCCAUAAGCGAAUGUGUGUCACAAAUAGAGUGGUUUGCUUGCCUAACAAAAGAGCUUGGAAUACCUUCUGAAAUGCCAAUCACUGUGCUAAGUGACAACAUGGCUGCACAACAGCUUGCUAACCAACAGAACUUUAAGAGCAAGAGUAAACAUAUUGCGAUAAGAUACGGAAAUGUGAAAAAUGCUUUGGAAAGAAAUGUGUUAAAGGUACAGCACUGUAACACAAAAUGUAAUGUGGCGGAUUUGUAUACAAAAUGUUUGGAUGCUCCUAAAUUUCGAGACUUAAGAGAAUUAUUAGGUCUCAAGCCUUUGACUUAAGGAGGAGUGUUGGGAUUCGCAGGAUACUGAGUAAGUCUGCAGGCUUCAACAGGAUGAUGCAAUACUCUGUGAAGUGCUGGGUCAGAGUGACUCAGCAGGAGUGUGAUUAAUGUGAUUGGCUAUCACCUGUUUUAAAAAGGAAAGCCUGUUCAACAGUAACCGUGGUUGUGGUGGUUGUGCUGUGGUAUGGUGGUGCUGUGGUGGAGAGUAUUCGUUUGCCUUAAGGAGCAGGUACUCUGUAUGGACUGUUUUUGUAAUUACCUGUAUAUAGCUCACAUUAAAAAGACUGCACUGG